UAGCUGCCUGGGUGUCCUGGCGAGUAGCACGUGACAUAUCAGUGGAAAUGCGGAUGUCACGGUGGGCUGUAUGCAUCUCAGUCGUCAAAGUCCCCAUAACCCGCUGGAGACUCUGCAUGUCUCGGCUGGUCCCCGUGGUGGUGGUGAAAAUCUGGCGCCACAACUAUGCAUUUAACUCAGCCUGUGAUGGAGGAGCUUGAGGCAUUUCUUGCUCUGCUUGCUCGUGACCUUGCUCUCCCUGCUGUCUGCGCCUCUCAAUUUCUUGCUUCUCCCAAUGCUUUAACCUGGCUCUGUCUUGGGCCUCCAAAGUACUGCGCUUUAUGGUGGGGCUGGGUUUGGCAGCCACCUCCCCGGAUACAAUGUUUAUACCAGCAGCUAUGCAAAUUCCGGAGAUGAGGCUUGGGAAGAUCAUUGAGCUGUGUCUAUCUCCCAAAGUACCCACAUGAUGUAUCUG
rnacentral:lncRNA from 1 species